GCCCCGCUCCAGCAGGGCCCCCCAGCGCAGGGUGCCCAGGACCCCGUCCAGGCGCCUUGUGCCGCUCUCCCAGGAGGAGACCCCACAGCCUCUCUGGGCAGCCCGGGCCAGUGCUCAGCCGCCCGCCCAGCACACAAGUGCUGCCUGGUGCUCAGAGGGAGCCUCCUCCCCUGAGCCUCCU